GUGUCGACGCCAUUCGGCGCGGGCCAUGGGCCCGCUUCCAAGUGCGUCUGCGCGCCGGCCACCCAUGUCGGGUCCUUCAAGUGCCGCUUCCACCGCAUCAACUCUCAGGGCCACGACCAGGGCCACGGCCAGGGAAGCCGCCCUUCUUCGCCUCCUUCACCGGCCACGGCCAACGAGGUGCCGCGGCACCCGGCCUCGCCAUCCUCGUCCUCCGGCACCGUCGCGACCCAGUGA
rnacentral:rRNA from 1 species